AGACAAAUGGUAAGAUUUGUCUCAUGUCGCUACUGAAAAUGGUCUGAGCCAUGGAGAGAGCUAUGUCUGGACGCAUGUUGAAGAGAGUCCUGCUGAAUUCUUGAACGGCUACCGAGUCCAAGUCUCCACCUACCACCAGUGGAGCGAAACCUAAGCACCACGCUUUGUAGUUGCUUCGUAUCGCUUCAAAAAGCUGGUUUAGGUCUUCUUGCUCGAAUCCACCUUGGAUAAUUCAGACAAGAGAAGGAACAUGGAUGUACUUUUGUCCAAGUUAUGUCCCAAAACGAGACAUAAAUGCAAAAGAUCUCGAAGCAUACCUUGGGGAAGCAGAAACCAUGACGAUUUUGGAGAAGAGGUCAGGUCGGUUAAGAGAAGCCAAGACACCAACCAUCGCGGAAAGAGAGUGACCGACAAAGAUACAAGACUCGAUUUGAAGGUCUUCUAAGAUUGCAAGCAAAUCAAAGGCGAAACCUUCGAGAGUUGAGUAACGAUCAAAGUCGAAAUAUUCCGGAUUGGUCGUACCGGCUCCCAUGUUGUCGUAGAGCACGAUGCGGUAAUCGUCGACCAGAUGUGGAACCAGGUGUUUCCAUACUGACUGGUCCGUACCGAACCCGUGACCUAAUACGAUCGUCCCUUUAUUUCCUGAUCCAAUCACCUUCACGUUGUGAGCUUCCUCUGUUACACCCAUCUCUCUCUAGACGCUAUAAAAUCUUCUCUACCUUUAGAAAAUUCGUUUUAAAGCGUUUGUUACUUUUAAAACGAAUUCGUUUUCACUUUUAUAAAACACGAUGAUUAUUUUUAUGCGCAAUAAAUCAGAUGCAUGUACACGUUGUUAAUUAAAAAAAGUCUUUAAAAAAUGUGCAUGCUGAUUAUCAGGCGGUAGACUGAUAUAUAUGAAAAUAAUAAUAUCGCUCAUUAUCAAAAAAAUAUAUAUAUAUAUCUCUCAUUAUCCUGAUACACGUGGGGACGGUAAAUUGCACCACACACGCACCUAUGUAUAAAUUCACUACAGUAAAAUCCCAUAUAUAUUAUAUAAAAUCGAUAUAUUUAUAUACUGGAUUCCUUAUUUAUAUACCAAAUAAUAAUGCCAAGAUAGGCAUGGGACCACGUAAUCACAUGGUGUUGAUAUCUGUGAGGACACAUGCCAAUGCCAAUGCCAAUAACCAACUUAAAGCCAUUUAAUUUAAUUGCGAAAACUUGUUUGAAAUAUCUUUGGCUUUAUUUUAGUUGCAAAAAAUUCUAGGCGAACCAUGAUCUUUUUGGAAAAGGAACAAAAGUCAAUGGCGAAGGAACAAAAGUCAGUUGCGUCGCCAAAAAAAGGUAGAGAUGUCUUGACGUCACAUAAGCAAACCUUGGACCUACGACCAUCACUGUCCAUCUCAUGGGAUAGAGCCAUGGCUUACUUCAAAUCCAGAUGCUUGAGUGUUUUUGACAUGGCUACAUGACUUCUUGGUCACUUGUUACCUUUUUUUCAGUUAUAUAGAACGUUUAUCAGGAUUUUAGGAUUGGCCAUCCCAUUUUCGGUUUGGUUUCAAAAGUCUCCAGUUUAUAAUUAUCAAAUCUACAAACCAAAUAAUUAUUACUUGUCUCGGUUGUAUAUAUAGGUUUGGUUUCAGUUCAGUAGAACUUUCAGUUUGAAGUCAGUUAAGGUUUGUAACUUGUAUAUAGAAAAAUGGAAACCGAGUCAGAUUGAUUUUGGAUCGGUUAUUUCAAGGUA